rnacentral:rRNA from 1 species
GGCCCUACGGGGUGCAGCAGGCGCGAAAACUUUACAAUGCACGAAAGUGCGAUAAGGGAAUCCUAAGUGCUAAUGUAUUACAUUGGCUUUUUUUAAGAGUAAAUAUCUUAAAGAAUAAGUGGUGGGAAAGACUGGUGCCAGCCGCCGCGGUAAUACCAGCGCCACAAGUGGCGAUCGCGUUUAUUGGGCCUAAAGCGUCCGUAGCCUGUUUGAAAAGUUUUUUGUGAAAUCGUUGGGCUCAACCCAACGGCGUGCAAGAAAAACUAUCAAACUCGGAACUGGGAGGAGUCAGAAGUAUUCUUUGGGGAGCGGUAAAAUGCUAUAAUCCUCGGAAGACUACCUAUGGCGAAGGCAUCUGACUAGAACAGAUUCAACGGUGAGGGACGAAAGCUAGGGGAGCAAACCGGAUUAGAUACCCGAGUAGUCCUAGCUGUAAACGCUGUGAGCUAGGCAUUGCAUAAUCUCUGGGAUUAUGCAGAGUCGUAGUGAAGACAUUAAGCUCACCGCCUGGGAAGUAUAGUCGCAAGACCGAAACUUAAAGGAAUUGGCGGGGGAGCAC